rnacentral:rRNA from 1 species
GGGCCCGCACAAGCGGUGGAGUAUGUGGUUUAAUUCGAUGAUACGCGAGAAACCUUACCUGGUCUUGACAUGCUGGGAACCCUUAAGAGAUUAGGGGGUGCCUGCUUGCAGGAGCCCAGACACAGGUGGUGCAUGGUUGUCGUCAGCUCGUGUCGUGAGAUGUUGGGUUAAGUCCCGCAACGAGCGCAACCCUUGUUGCUAGUUACCAGCACGUAAUGGUGGGAACUCUAGCGAGACUGCCGGUGACAAACCGGAGGAAGGUGGGGAUGACGUCAAAUCAUCACGCCCCUUACGACCAGGGCCACACACGUACUACAAUGCCCGGUACAACGAGCUGCGAAGCCGCGAGGCUGAGCUAAUCUCUUAAAGCCGGGCCAAGUUCAGAUCGGAGGCUGCAAUUCGCCUCCGUGAAGCUGGAAUCGCUAGUAAACGCAAAUCAGCAUGUUGCGUUGAAUACGUUCUCGGGCCUU